rnacentral:rRNA from 1 species
AAGAAAGUAAGAAAGGGCGUAUGGCGGAUGCCUAGGCUCACGGAGGCGAUGAAGGACGUGAUAAGCUGCGAUAAGCUUCGGGUAGGUGCAAAUAACCCUUGAUCCGGAGAUUUCCGAAUGGGACAACCUAGCCGUCUGAAGGACGGUUACUCAAUCUUCAAGGUUGAGAGCUAACGCAGGGAACUGAAACAUCUUAGUACCUGUAGGAAGAGAAAAUAAAUGAAUGAUUCCCCCAGUAGUGGCGAGCGAACGGGGAACAGCCCAAACCGUUGACGUCGCAAGGCGCCAGCGGGGUUGUAGGACCGCGACAUUGUAUGCAAAUCGUGAACAGAACACUUUGGAAAAUGUGACCAUAGACGGUGAUAGUCCAGUAUGUGAAGCGAAAUGCAGCAUAGCGGUAUCCUGAGUAACGCGGGACACGAGGAAUCCUGCGCGAAUCUGCCGGGACCAUCCGGUAAGGCUAAAUACUCCCGUGAGACCGAUAGCGAACGAGUACUGUGAAGGAAAGGUGAAAAGAACCCCGAGCAGGGGAGUGAAAUAGUUCCUGAAACCAUACGCCUACAAGCGGUCGGAGCAUCUUACGAUGUGACGGCGUGCCUUUUGCAUAAUGAUCCUACGAGUUACCGUCACUGGCGAGGUUGAGUGUCACGAGACACGUAGCCGCAGUGAAAGCGAGCCUGAAUAGGGCGCAUAGUCAGUGGGGGUAGACGCGAAACCAAGUGAUCUACACUUGGCCAGGAUGAAGUCCCGGUAACACGGGAUGGAGGUCCGCACCAAUAAGCGUUGAAAAGCUUCUGGAUGAGCCGAGUGU